rnacentral:rRNA from 1 species
UACGUAGGGUGCAAGCGUUGUCCGGAAUUAUUGGGCGUAAAGAGCUUGUAGGCGGUUUGUCGCGUCUGCUGUGAAAUUUCGGGGCUCAACCCCGAACUUGCAGUGGGUACGGGCAGACUAGAGUGUGGUAGGGGGAGACUGGAAUUCCUGGUGUAGCGGUGAAAUGCGCAGAUAUCAGGAGGAACACCGAUGGCGAAGGCAGGUCUCUGGGCCAUAACUGACGCUGAGAAGCGAAAAGCAUGGGGGAGCGAACAGG